rnacentral:rRNA from 1 species
AAGUACGGUCGUAAUACCGGAGUAUUAAUAGUGUAGUGCUGACAUUGCGAUUUUACAUGAAAGAAUUUUGGUGUGAGAUGGGGAUGCGUCUGAUUAGCUUGUUGGCGGGGUAACGGCCCACCAAGGCAUCGAUCAGUAGGGGUUCUGAGAGGAAGGUCCCCCACAUUGGAACUGAGACACGGUCCAAACUCCUACGGGAGGCAGCAGUGAGGAAUAUUGGUCAAUGGGCGAGAGCCUGAACCAGCCAAGUAGCGUGCAGGAUGACGGCCCUAUGGGUUGUAAACUGCUUUUAUGCGGGGAUAAAGUGUGCCACGUGUGGCAUAUUGCAGGUACCGCAUGAAUAAGGACCGGCUAAUUCCGUGCC